AACGAACGCUGGCGGCAUGCCUAACACAUGCAAGUCGAACGAGACCUUCGGGUCUAGUGGCGCACGGGUGCGUAACGCGUGGGAGCCUGCCCUUAGGUUCGGAAUAACUCCCCGAAAGGGGUGCUAAUACCGGAUAAUGUCUUCGGACCAAAGAUUUAUCGCCUUUGGAUGGGCCCGCGUUGGAUUAGCUAGUUGGUAGGGUAAAAGCCUACCAAGGCGACGAUCCAUAGCUGGUCUGAGAGGAUGAUCAGCCACACUGGGACUGAGACACGGCCCAGACUCCUACGGGAGGCAGCAGUGGGGAAUAUUGGACAAUGGGCGAAAGCCUGAUCCAGCGAUGCCGCGUGAGUGAUGAAGGCCUUAGGGUUGUAAAGCUCUUUUACCCGGGAUGAUAAUGACAGUACCGGGAGAAUAAGCUCCGGCUAACUCCGUG
rnacentral:rRNA from 1 species